CAUUUGAUUACUUCUCUCAUUGCUGAAAGUUUCGCAAACUGAAAAGUUGCAGAACUAUAAAUCCGAGGAAGCCUUUCCACCUGCGUUCAAAAUGAGUUCCAAGUCCCUAUUCGAAAGCGACGAGGAUGCCGCCCAGGCCAACAAAUUCGCCAAGAAGGCCAAAGAAAGCCCUUUUAUGCUAGUGGGCAUUGCUGGAUUUGUGGCCGCCGGAUUGAUUGGGGCGUACAAGUACAAGAACCGCGGGACGAUGAGCACCAGCGUAUUCCUGAUGCAGCUGCGUGUGGCGGCACAGGGGACCGUGGUCGGCUGCUUGACCGUCGGAUUGGCCUACAGUAUGGCUAAGGAGUACCUCUUCGAAAAGGCGCCCAAGGAGAAGUAAGGACUCGAGUUCCUACUUAGUUAAUACUAGCUGUAGUUGUAGUUGAUGUCACUCUACCAAGUCACUGACUAACUAAACUCAUAUGAUUGUAAGACCUCCCUCUUCAAAAGUACCCACAAGAACACCUUACCGGGAUAAAAUCGGCUAGCCCGCAUACAUCUAAGCAAAAUGUAUCUCUAUUUAUGUAUUUUAUCAACAAAAUAUUUUAAAAUUUGCACCGAGCGAAAGACGGUGAGAGGAUUAUCGAAGGAGGGCUGGGCUCUUAACAUUUAACAAAGUGUCCAAGCCAUGAGAACAAGACAAUGUUUUGUAUACCUGCGUAAGAUUGUGAUAAUGUUUGUUUUAAUUGUACAAGUUUAACAUCCAAGCGGAAGCUGUCGAGGACAGACGACAAGAUGAAUGAAUACCUCUCGCAACAUAUAAUAUAAUUAAAUAAAAAAGUAGGCUAAAA